rnacentral:rRNA from 1 species
ACGUAGGUGGCAAGCGUUAUCCGGAAUUACUGGGCGUAAAGCGUACGCAGGCGGUUGAUUAAGUCUGACGUGAAAGCUCCUGGCUUAACUGGGAGAGGUCGUUGGAAACUAAUUAGCUUGAGGUGAUGAGAGGGGUGCGGAAUUCCCGGUGUAGUGGUGGAAUGCGUAGAUAUCGGGAGGAACACCAGUGGCGAAAGCGGCACCCUGGCAUUUACCUGACGCUCAUGUACGAAAGCGUGGGGAGCGAACGGG